GGGCCGGAGCCGCCUGCGCGGCUCCUCAGUCCGGGGGUCUCUCGGCAUCUCCCGGGAGGAGAGGGUUGGGCUGUGGGCGGCUCGCGUUCCCUCCAUAGGAAACCCUUGGGUUAUACUGUAAAGAGCCGUUUGCACUUACUCUCGCGCAUUUGGUUAUGUGGUUCAGGGUUUUAAAAACCCCCCAGCGCCUGAACCCCGGUUCCUGCAGCAGCGCGGGAUUUGCUGUCACUGCGCUGGAGCAGAGCGUGUUACCUACUGCAAAUCAAAGAGUGCUCUGCUUAUAGGGUUCUUCAUGGCUUUCUAAUGCGCUGAUUUGUCCCUGAUUCGUUGUUCUAAUCACGUUAACUUCUGUGUCAUUGAUCUGUUUUGUCUCCUUGCAGAGAAACAGUGUGUUCUGGGUGUCACACCUUGGCUUCUGAGCAUGGAGAAGGAACAGGUUUCCAAACGUUUGUAUGCCCUUUAGAGGAAUGGGGUCCCUUUGUGUAAAAGAGUUAAGUAAGGACAGCACUGGGUUAAAGAAGAAGUCUAUAGAAAGCUUGGGACUUGAAGCUUGUACAUCUUAUUGUGGGGAGGAGUCAUCCAAAAAUCAGCCAAAGAACCAUCCAUCGUGUUCACUUGAAGUCAGCAGCGAAAAGAGACACAAAAUGCCUUGUGAACAGCACAAGGAACUGUCAGCUGCUUUCUCCUCAGCAGCUGGCUCCAGGCCUCAUUUGCAAGGGAAGAACAAAGGUGUGAGUUCUCUACAAGACCAAAACUCAGAGCAUGGAGCUGCUGCUGCCAGUACUGAUCAGAGUGAUGGGAGGAGUGACACGGACAGUGAUGCUGCAGGGGCCCAGGAACACAUUAAACAGCAGCUGAAGAGCCCAAAACAGGUUUCCAAAACAUUUAAGAGGAAUACAAGCAGAAAAAAUCCAGAAUGUGAAGGUAAUAAAGGUGGGAAUGGGAAGACAAGCCUUCUGGAAGAUAAGGAGCUUUGUCUUCAUGCUGCUGCCUCAAAACAGCCCAGUACAAUAGAGAAAUAGCUCCAGGACAACCAGAGGAGGCUGGCAGCUCUGGAAGAGAGACACAAAGUGAGAGAAUUACAGAAGAAACUCAUUCAAGGAGCUCUUUCUAAUCUGGUAAUUAUACUCACAACUUCUACCUCAAUACAAGGUACUAGCACAGUAGAAGGAAGAGGGUAAUUAAUACAUGUGGAGCAAGAUGCUUUAAAAUCAGUCUGGAAUUUCUGAUGACAUUGCCAGUUUUCUUUUGAGAGUAUACAAAAGGCUGCAUACCCCAUCCCUGGAACACCUGUAGAGUUGCAAGAGGAAUAGCAGAUUCCUCUUUUUGUGUCAUGGAAAUGUCUUUCAGAGAGUCAUGUCUGAGGGCAGCAAGUAUUUGAUGUGUUUGACUUGAUGAGUCUUUCCUAGGAUAAGCAGCCAGCAUGAAAAGCACAAACACAUAAUAUUUGAUUCCGAUGAGGAAAAUUAAGCUGAAGUGGAUGAGAUGUUGAAAAAAGAUGCAAGUUCAGGAGAUAUGCAGAAAGGGCCCAAAGUUAUUUUGUAGAUCAACAGAGCCCAGUGAAGAGAAAGACGGUUGGGAAGACAGACGUAGAUUGUUGCUUGAGGACCAGCUACUUAACUGCAUGUAAAGAAAGUGUUCAAGAGAAACAGUGAAUUUAGAGACUUCUCCUAGGAGUGGAUUCAGAGACUUCUCCUAAUAAGACGUUAGAUUUUCGCUAUUUCUGGAAUGCCGAAGGAAGCAUAAGGACGCCAAAAGAAAAAAAGUGAAAGUAAAGCAAUAAACAUUUUUUUCUGAUGA